GACGAACGCUGGCGGCGUGCUUAACACAUGCAAGUCGAACGAAGAGCGAUGGAAGCUUGCUUCUAUCAAUCUUAGUGGCGAACGGGUGAGUAAUGCGUAAUCAACCUUCCCUUCAGAGGGGGACAACAGUUGGAAACGACUGCUAAUACCGCAUACGAUCUAACCUCGGCAUCGAGGAUAGAUGAAAGGUGGCUUCUACAUGUAAGCGAUCACUGCAGCAGGGGAGUGCGUCUGAUUAGCAAGUUGGAGGGGUAACGGCUCACCAAGGCGAUGAUCAGUAGCCGGUAUGCGAGGAUGAACGGCCACAUUGAGACUGAGACACGGCACAGACUGCUACGGGAGGCAGCAGUGGGGAAUCUUCCGGAAUGGACGAGAGUCUGACGACGCAACGCCGCGUGAGUGAGGAGGGCCUUCGGGUUGGAAAGCUCUGUUAUUCGGGACGAAAGGCCUUCUUGCGAAUACUUAGAAGGAUUGACGGUACCGGAAUAGAAAGCAACGGCUAACUACGUG
rnacentral:rRNA from 1 species